GACGAACGCUGGCGGCGUGCUUAACACAUGCAAGUCGAACGGAAAGGCUCUGCUUUUGUGGGGUGCUCGAGUGACGAACGGGUGAGUAACACGUGAGUAACCUGCCCUUGACUUUGGGAUAACUUCAGGAAACUGGGGCUAAUACCGGAUAGGAGCUCCUGCUGCAUGGUGGGGGUUGGAAAGUUUCGGCGGUUGGGGAUGGACUCGCGGCUUAUCAGCUUGUUGGUGGGGUAGUGGCUUACCAAGGCUUUGACGGGUAGCCGGCCUGAGAGGGUGACCGGCCACAUUGGGACUGAGAUACGGCCCAGACUCCUACGGGAGGCAGCAGUGGGGAAUAUUGCACAAUGGGCGGAAGCCUGAUGCAGCAACGCCGCGUGCGGGAUGACGGCCUUCGGGUUGUAAACCGCUUUCGCCUGUGACGAAGCGUGAGUGACGGUAAUGGGUAAAGAAGCACCGGCUAACUACGUG
rnacentral:rRNA from 1 species